AGUUGUGAAUGACUUAGCUACUCUGAUUAAGACAGUAGUUAAGUUUUUCACAGUUGAUU
ensembl:miRNA mdo-mir-12337 mdo-mir-12337